AGUGAACGCUGGCGGUAGGCCUAACACAUGCCAGUCGAACGGCAGCACAGUAAGAGCUUGCUCUUACGGGUGGCGAGUGGCGGACGGGUGAGGAAUACAUCGGAAUCUACUUUUUCGUGGGGGAUAACGUAGGGAAACUUACGCUAAUACCGCAUACGACCUACGGGUGAAAGCAGGGGAUCUUCGGACCUUGCGCGGUUGAAUGAGCCGAUGUCGGAUUAGCUAGUUGGCGGGGUAAAGGCCCACCAAGGCGACGAUCCGUAGCUGGUCUGAGAGGAUGAUCAGCCACACUGGAACUGAGACACGGUCCAGACUCCUACGGGAGGCAGCAGUGGGGAAUAUUGGACAAUGGGCGCAAGCCUGAUCCAGCCAUACCGCGUGGGUGAAGAAGGCCUUCGGGUUGUAAAGCCCUUUUGUUGGGAAAGAAAAGCAGCAGGUUAAUACCCCGCUGUUCUGACGGUACCCAAAGAAUAAGCACCGGCUAACUUCGUG
rnacentral:rRNA from 1 species